rnacentral:rRNA from 1 species
CCUACGGGGGGCAGCAGUGGGGAAUAUUGCACAAUGGGCGCAAGCCUGAUGCAGCCAUGCCGCGUGUGUGAAGAAGGCCUUCGGGUUGUAAAGCACUUUCAGCGGGGAGGAAGGCGUUAAGGUUAAUAACCUUGUCGAUUGACGUUACCCGCAGAAGAAGCACCGGCUAACUCCGUGCCAGCAGCCGCGGUAAUACGGAGGGUGCAAGCGUUAAUCGGAAUUACUGGGCGUAAAGCGCACGCAGGCGGUCUGUCAAGUCGGAUGUGAAAUCCCCGGGCUCAACCUGGGAACUGCAUUCGAAACUGGCAGGCUAGAGUCUUGUAGAGGGGGGUAGAAUUCCAGGUGUAGCGGUGAAAUGCGUAGAGAUCUGGAGGAAUACCGGUGGCGAAGGCGGCCCCCUGGACAAGGACUGACGCUCAGGUGCGAAAGCGUGGGGAGCAAACAGGAUUAGAUACCCUUGUAGUC